rnacentral:tRNA from 1 species
UCGGGGGUGGUGUAAUCGGCAACACAGCAGGUUCUGGCCCUGUCGUUGGGGGUUCGAGUCCUCCCCCCCGAGCAA